GCCACUCUUGCUAUGUCCAAAGCAAUGGCAAUAUAUCGUGUGGACUUACAUCUUGAAUAAUGUGUACAUCAGUGUGCAUUCACUGGCUUUAAUUAGGUCUUAUGUUUCCACUUUCAGCAAAAUUGUAAGCAUUCCAAAUACCUUACUUCUAGUCCUAUGUCUAUCGUAUCUUGUCAGUAUAUAUGGAGUGGUAAUGUUAGAUUUUCAUAUAUAGGAAAACGGCAAGUACAAUAGUCAGGAGCCAAGUCCCAUUGAGUUUUUCAAAGAGACCCGUACUAACAGCAUGAGCGAGCCGACACAUCUAGCUUAUAAUGCAAUGGAAAAGAAAAGGGAAACACAAUCAAAAGUGACAACCAGUGUUUGAUUCAAUGAUUGUGGCUGAAGUUCUAAAGGAAGAAAACGCCCAUAGCACCUUCCUUUCCAGCAUGAGUUAUGCAUCAAGAUCCGGGAGAUUUGGGAACUCUAAUUCAUCAGCAAGGAUCUGAGUUCUAGAAGAAAGAAUUGAGCAAAAUGAUAAAGAGGCGAGAGAUGCAAAUGACAGGCACUGAGAGGAGUUAGUGGUGAGACUUGAAGCACAAGCGAGAGAAUUUGAAGAGGUGUAGAGGAAGCAACACGAAUAAUUGGAAGAUGUGAAGAAGAUCGAGCAAGAGAAGAAUGAAGCCUGGCAAAAGAAGCAACAAGAGACGAAUAUCCUGAUUGGUUUUCUCUUAAGGGCUCAAGCAACUCAGCAAGCAACUUAGCAGUCCUAAUCCAAACUUAAUGGUGCAUGAAGGCCAUCCUUUUGCGAUGGAAAGAUAGUUGUUGAAUCAUACAUUGCAAUCAUCACGAUAACACAUGUGGUCUUUACUUAUCUAAAUAUUGCUUUUCAACUUGUCUAUUCUUCUGUCAAACUCGUGAGUCAGUGUUAAUUUUUACUAUGAAA